rnacentral:rRNA from 1 species
UACGUAGGGAGCGAGCGUUGUCCGGAUUCAUUGGGCGUAAAGAGCUCGUAGGCGGCUUGGUAAGUCGGAUGUGAAACCUCCAGGCUCAACCUGGAGUCGCCAUCCGAUACUGCCAUGGCUAGAGUCCGGUAGGGGCCCACGGAAUUCCUGGUGUAGCGGUGAAAUGCGCAGAUAUCAGGAGGAACACCGGUGGCGAAGGCGGGUCUCUGGGCCGAUAUUGACGCUGAGGAGCGAAAGCGUGGGGAGCAAACAGG